ACUCCCCUACGGGGCGCAGCAGUGGGGAAUAUUGCACAAUGGGGGAAACCCUGAUGCAGCGACGCCGCGUGAGUGAAGAAGUAUUUCGGUAUGUAAAGCUCUAUCAGCAGGGAAGAAAAAAGACGGUACCUGACUAAGAAGCCCCGGCUAACUACGUGCCAGCAGCCGCGGUAAUACGUAGGGGGCAAGCGUUAUCCGGAUUUACUGGGUGUAAAGGGAGCGUAGACGGCUGCGCAAGUCAGAAGUGAAAGCCCGGGGCUCAACCGCGGGACUGCUUUUGAAACUGUGUAGCUAGAGUGCAGGAG
rnacentral:rRNA from 1 species